CGAGUAUAUGGUCAAUUUCAAAGUGAGGAAUUUUGGACACUUGACGAAAAUCACGAGAUGGUACUACUGCACUUUUUAUUUAUUUCAAAUUUGUUUAGUUUGUCUAGCUAAUGAUUUUACUUUAUUUCAAAAAUGUGUGUUUUUAAGUGUAGAUCAAGCCACUACGAGGAGACACAUUACAACCUAGUAGGAUUUCAACAGGACUGAAGGUUGGUUCUCAUAUUUUCUUGAAGAGUUGGAGGAAUCAAAAUAAGAAGGUUGCAUUAGGUACAAUAAUUGGUUGUGAUCCAAAGCAACAAGUUGGAGGAGAUCCAUUGGGCAAAGAAUUUUGGAAGGUUCGUCUCGGUCUUGUACUUGUGCGUGAUGAACCACUAAUACGGCCCUACAACAAUUUUGUGGUUCUAGGAGACAUAGACAACGACCCUAUAGCAUGGCCUUCAAGUUGUAUAGAAAAGGCAACUCUUUAAUGUCAACCAUUGAACAACAGCAGAUCUACAUGAGGGCUAUGACUUCGAUUCUUCUUUAAAUUGGCGUUAUUAGUGAUGAGAGCGAUGAGUCUAUUGAGUCCGGUUUAUGAGUCAACCUUUGUUUGUUUCAUACUAUCAUAGAAAAAAUGUCAAUUCACACAUUGUGUAAUGAAUUAAGUUGUGGAUGAUAUUUUAUAACGACACUACUAUUUUUAAUAUAGACUAAUUCCAGAUUA